rnacentral:rRNA from 1 species
CAGCCGCCGCGGUAAUACGAAGGGGGCUAGCGUUGUUCGGAUUUACUGGGCGUAAAGCGCACGUAGGCGGAUCCUUAAGUCAGAGGUGAAAUCCCAAGGCUCAACCUUGGAACUGCCUUUGAUACUGGGGAUCUCGAGUUCGGGAGAGGUGAGUGGAACUGCGAGUGUAGAAGUGAAAUUCGUAGAUAUUCGCAAGAACACCAGUGGCGAAGGCGGCUCACUGGCCCGGUACUGACGCUGAGGUGCGAAAGCGCGGGGAGCAAACAGGAUUAGAUACCCCGGUAGUCCCUGUCUCUUAUAC